rnacentral:rRNA from 1 species
GACGAACGCUGGCGGCGUGCCUAACACAUGCAAGUCAACUUGACUGAAGGAGCAAUCUGACAGUAGAGUGGCGCAAGGGUGCGUAACGCGUAGGUAACUUGCCCCAAGGUAAGGAAUAACGUCGAGAAAUCGGCGCUAAUACCUCAUAAUGCAGCGGAUCCGCAUGGAUAUGUUGUUAAAGGUUUACCGCCUUGGGAUAGGCUUGCGUCUGAUUAGCUAGUUGGUGUGGUAAACGGCACACCAAGGCUACGAUCAGUAACUGGUCUGAGAGGAUGAUCAGUCACACUGGAACUGAGACACGGUCCAGACUCCUACGGAGGCAGCAGUGAGGAAUAUUGGGCAAUGCUCGAAGAGUGA